UAGUGUACCGGUGAAAUGCAUAGAUAUUACACAGAAUACCAAUUGCGAAGGCAGAUCACUAACAAUUAACUGACGCUGAUGGACGAAAGCGUAGGUAGCGAACAGGAUUAGAUACCCUGGUAGUCUACGCAGUAAACGAUGGUUACUAGCUGUUUGGCCGCCUUAGGCGGCUAAGUGGCCAAGCGAAAGUGAUAAGUAACCCACCUGGGGAGUACGUUCGCAAGAAUGAAACUCAAAGGAAUUGACGGGGGCCCGCACAAGCGGUGGAGCAUGUGGUUUAAUUCGAUGAUACGCGAGGAACCUUACCAGGGCUUAAAUGCAGUCUGACAGGGGUAGAAAUACCUUUUUCUUCGGACAGAUUGCAAGGUGCUGCAUGGUUGUCGUCAGCUCGUGCCGUGAGGUGUCAGGUUAAGUCCUAUAACGAGCGCAACCCCUAUGGUUAGUUGCUAGCAGGUCAUGCUGAGAACUCUAGCCAGACUGCCGGUGUAAACCGUGAGGAAGGUGGGGAUGACGUCAAAUCAUCACGGCCCUUACGUCCUGGGUAAAACGUGCUACAAUGGUAUGUACAAUGAGCAGCCACCACGCGAGUAGGCGCAAAUCUCAAAGCAUAUCACAGUUCGGAUCGGAGUCUGCAACUCGACUCCGUGAAGCUGGAUCGCUAGUAAUCGCACAUCAGCCAUGGUGCGGGAUACGUUCCCGGGCCUUGUACACACCGCCCGUC
rnacentral:rRNA from 1 species